ACAAUUUAGUGUCAAUUUGAAUUUUAAUUGUAAAUUUUUUAGGUGGAAUUUUAAAUUUUGUUAAAAUUUUUUAUUUGUUCUGAGGUUGGGAAAUCUUUUGUUAAACUAGGAUUAGAUACCCUAUUAUUUUAGAUGUGAUUAUUUUUCUAGAAUUAUUAUUAGUUAAGUUCUUUAAAAUUAAACAAUUUGGCGGUAUUUUAGUCUAUUCAGAGGAACCUGUUUUUUAAUCGAUGGUCCACGAUAAGUUUUACUUUAGUUUUAAAUUUAUAUAUCGUCGUUAUUAAUAAUUUUAUGAGAAUUUUAAUUUUUGAGAUUUUUUAUUAUAAGUUAGUUCAGAUCAAGGUGUAGUUGAUAUUAAAGUUAAAAUGGGUUACAUUUCAUUUAUGAUUGGUUCUUUUUUUUAAAUUUUUAGAUAAAUUGGAUUUGAUAGUAAAUUCUUUAUUUAGUGGAGUUGAUUUAGCUCUAAAAUAUGCACAUAUCGCCCGU
rnacentral:rRNA from 1 species